GAUGAACGCUAGCGGGAGGCCUAACACAUGCAAGCCGAGCGGUAUUGUUUCUUCGGAAAUGAGAGAGCGGCGUACGGGUGCGUAACACGUGUGCAACCUGCCUUUAUCUGGGGGAUAGCCUUUCGAAAGGAAGAUUAAUACUCCAUAAUAUAUUGAACGGCAUCGUUUAAUAUUGAAAGCUCCGGCGGAUAGAGAUGGGCACGCGCAAGAUUAGCUAGUUGGUGAGGUAACGGCUCACCAAGGCGAUGAUCUUUAGGGGGCCUGAGAGGGUGAUCCCCCAAACUGGUACUGAGACACGGACCAGACUCCUACGGGAGGCAGCAGUGAGGAAUAUUGGUCAAUGGGUGCAAGCCUGAACCAGCCAUCCCGCGUGAAGGACGACUGCCCUAUGGGUUGUAAACUUCUUUUGUAUAGGGAUAAACCUACCCUCGAGAGGGUAGCUGAAGGUACUAUACGAAUAAGCACCGGCUAACUCCGUG
rnacentral:rRNA from 1 species